CUCAUGGAGAGUUUGAUCUUGGCUCAGGAUGAAUGUUAGCGACAUUCUUAACAAAUGCAAGUCAGACAUAAAGUGGUGUUUCCAGUGGCGGACAUGUAAGUAACGUGUAAUAACUUUCCCUUGGGACGGGAACAACAACUGGAAAUGACUGCUAAUACCCCAUAAGCUGAGGAGAAAAAGGAGGAAUCUGCCCAAGAAGGGGAUUGCAUAUGAUUAUUUAGUUGGUGAGGCAAUGAAUUACGAAGGCGGCGAUCAGUAGCUGGUCCAAGAGGAUGAUCAACCACACUGGGACUGAGACAUGACCCAGACUCCUACGUGAGGCAGUAGUGGGGAAUUUUCCAUAAUGGGUGAAAUCCCGACGGAGCUAUGUCGCGUGAAGGCAGAAGGCCGACGGGUCAUGAACUUCUUUUCUCAUAGGAGAAGCAAUGUUAGUAUAUGAGGAAUAAGCAUCAUCUAACUCUAUGCUAACAACCGCGGUAAGACAAAGGAUGCAAGAGUUAUCCAGAAUGAUUGGGUGUAAAGAGUCUAUAGGUGGAUUUUAAAGUCUACUGUCAAAUCCUAGGGCUCAACCCUGGACAGGCGGUGGAAACUACCAAGCUAGAGUAUGGUAGGGGCAAAGGGAAUUUUCGAUGGAGCGGUGAAAUGCAUUGAGAUUGAAAAUAACACCAACGACGAAAACACUAUGUUGGGCCGACAUUAACACUGAGAUACGAAAGCUAGGGGAGAAAAUGGGAUUAGAUACCCCAAUAUUCCUAGCUGUAAACGAUGGAUACUAAGUAUUGUGAGUAUUGACCCACACAAUGUUGUAGAUAACGCGUUAAUUAUCCCACCUGGGGAGUACGUUCGCAAGAAUGAAACUCAAAGGAAUUGUCGGGGGCCUGCACAAGCGAUGGAACAUGUGGUUCAAUUUGAUGCAAAGAGAAGAACCUUACCAGGGCUUGACAUGCCGUGAAUCCUCCCAAAAGAGAGGAGUGCCUUCGACAACGCAGACACAUGUGGUGCAUGGCUGUCAUCAGCUCGUGCUGUAAGGUGUUGGGUUAAGUCCCACAAUGAGCGCGACACUCAUUUUUAGUUGCCAGCAUUGAAUUUGGAACCCUGAACAGAUUGUCGGUGAUAAGCUAGAGGAAGAUGAGGAUGACAUCAAGUCAUCAUGCCCAUUACGCCCUAGGUGACACACAUGCUACAAUGACUGGGACAAAGGGUUGCAACCCAGUGAGGGAAAGCUAACCUCAAAAACUUGACCUCACUUUGGAUUGCAGGCUACAACUCGCCUGCAUAAGGCUUAAAUCGCUAGUAAUUGUCGGUGAGCCAUACGACAUUGAAUUUGUUCCCGGGUCUUGUACACACUGCCCGUCACACUAUGGGAGUUGGCCAUGCCCCAAGUCGUUACCUUAACUGCAAUGAGGGGGAUGUCAAAGGCUGGGCUAGUGACUGGAGUGAAUUCGUAAAAAGGUAGUCGUAAUGGAAGGUGUGGUUGGAUCACCUUAUUU
rfam:Picea glauca, whole genome shotgun sequence.